AUGGAUGUGUGCCCGAACGUUUUAAGGACUACUUUGAUAGAGUAAACAACAGAGGCUAGAAUCCUCUCACAUCCUUA
rnacentral:tRNA from 1 species